rnacentral:SRP_RNA from 1 species
GCGCUGAGUGGGGAGAUAGCGGUGCCCUGUACUUGCAAUCCGCUACAGCAAGGCUGAUCGUUCCCCUCGGCUUGUCGUAUGGUUGGCUGCGUGAGGUAAGGCGUGAUGAUGUCAAGGUCUUAUGCAACGCAAAGCCGCGAACCGCGUCAGGAUAGGGAUAUAGCAGCGCUAAACGGUCGAUUGCGUGUGCCAUGAGGUUGCUUUGACGGAGCGACCUGCCGCAU